AGGAUCAUUACUGAAUUGUCGACACGAGUUGUUGCUGGUCCUNAGANGGGGGCAUGUGCACACUCUGUUUACACAUCCACUCACANNNGUGCACCCUCUGUAGUUCUAUGGCCUGGGGGGGCUCUGUCACCCUUGCCGUGGUCUACGUCUUUACACACACACUGUAAUAAAGUCUCAUGGAAUGUAUGUAGCGUUUAACGCAAUACAAUACAACUUUCAGCAACGGAUCUCUUGGCUCUCGCAUCGAUGAAGAACGCAGCGAAAUGCGAUAAGUAAUGUGAAUUGCAGAAUUCAGUGAAUCAUCGAAUCUUUGAACGCACCUUGCGCCCUUUGGCUAUUCUGAAGGGCAUGCCUGUUUGAGUAUCAUGAACACCUCAACUCUCAUGGCUUGCCANGAUGAGCUUGGAUUUUGGGGGACUUGCUGGCCUAUAGCCAGCUCCUCUCAAAUGAAUCAGCUUGCCAGUGUUUGGUGGCAUCACAGGUGUGAUAACUAUCUACGCUUGUGGUUUUCCAUCAGGUAACCUUCNGUGAUGGAGGUUCGCUGGAGCUCA
rnacentral:rRNA from 1 species